UACGUAGGCAGCAAGCGUUGUUCGGAGUUACUGGGCGUAAAGGGUGCGUAGGCGGUUGUUUAAGUUUGGUGUGAAAUCUCCCGGCUCAACUGGGAGGGUGCGCCGAAUACUGAAUGACUAGAGUGCGGGAGAGGAGAGUGGAAUUCCUGGUGUAGCGGUGAAAUGCGUAGAUAUCAGGAGGAACACCGGUGGUGUAGACGGCUCUCUGGACCGUAACUGACGUUGAGGCACGAAAGACGUGGGUAGCAAACAGG
rnacentral:rRNA from 1 species